rnacentral:rRNA from 1 species
AUACCGCAUAACAUCCUGCCUUUGAAGAGGUGGAGAUCAAAGCUGGGGAUCGCAAGACCUAGCGCUGGAAGAGGGGCCCGCGCCUGAUUAGCUAGUUGGUGAGGUAACGGCUCACCAAGGCGACGAUCAGUAUCCGGCCUGAGAGGGCGGACGGACACACUGGGACUGAGACACGGCCCAGACUCCUACGGGAGGCAGCAGUGGGGAAUUGUUCGCAAUGGGCGCAAGCCUGACGACGCAACGCCGCGUGGAGGAUGAAGACCUUCGGGUCGUAAACUCCUUUCGAUCGAGACGAAUGGCCUCCGGGUGAACAGUCCGGAGGAGUGACGGUACCGAGAGAAGAAGCCCCGGCUAACUCCGUGCCAGCAGCCGCGGUAAUACGGGGGGGGCAAGCGUUGUUCGGAAUUACUGGGCGUAAAGGGCUCGUAGGCGGCCAACUAAGUCAGACGUAUCCCUCGGCUUAACCGGGGAACUGCAUCUGAUACUGGAUGGCUUG